rnacentral:rRNA from 1 species
GCAGUCGAACGGAGAGGCCUCAGCUUGCUGGGGUACUCGAGUGGCGAACGGGUGAGUAACACGUGGGUGAUCUGCCCUGCACUUUGGGAUAAGCCUGGGAAACUGGGUCUAAUACCGAAUAUGACCACUUCUUGGAUGUUGUGGUGGAAAGCUUUUGCGGUGUGGGAUGAGCCUGCGGCCUAUCAGCUUGUUGGUGGGGUAAUGGCCUACCAAGGCGGCGACGGGUAUCCGGCCUGAGAGGGUGUACGGACACAUUGGGACUGAGAUACGGCCCAGACUCCUACGGGAGGCAGCAGUGGGGAAUAUUGCACAAUGGGCGCAAGCCUGAUGCAGCGACGCCGCGUGGGGGAUGAAGGCCUUCGGGUUGUAAACUCCUUUCGCUAUCGACGAAGCCACUUGUGGUGACGGUAGGUAGAUAAGAAGCACCGGCUAACUACGUGCCAGCAGCCGCGGUAAUACGUAGGGUGCAAGCGUUGUCCGGAAUUACUGGGCGUAAAGAGCUCGUAGGUGGUUUGUCGCGUCGUCUGUGAAAUCCCGGGGCUUAACUUCGGGCGUGCAGGCGAUACGGGCAUAACUUGAGUGCUGUAGGGGAGACUGGAAUUCCUGGUGUAGCGGUGAAAUGCGCAGAUAUCAGGAGGAACACCGAUGGCGAAGGCAGGUCUCUGGGCAGUAACUGACGCUGAGGAGCGAAAGCAUGGGUAGCGAACAGGAUUAGAUACCCUGGUAGUCCAUGCCGUAAACGGUGGGCGCUAGGUGUAGGGGGCUUCCACGUCUUCUGUGCCGUAGCUAACGCAUUAAGCGCCCCGCCUGGGGGAGUACGGCCGCAAGGCUAAAACUCAAAGGAAUUGACGGGGGCCCGCACAAGCGGCGGAGCAUGUGGAUUAAUUCGA